CCGCGGGGCCUUCUAAGUCAAAAAGUCUCCGGAGCUUGCGCCAGGCUUUUCGCGGCGCCCCGGCCUUAGACGCAGGUCUCGGAAGCGAGCAGGGGAGAAGGCGUCGUUGCCGGAGCUGAGACCGGGCGGCCGGAGUCCGCAGGGAUGAACCUCGAGUUGCUGGAGUCCUUUGGGCAGAACUAUCCAGAGGAGGCUGAUGGAACUUUGGAUUGUAUCAGCAUGGCCCUGACUUGCACCUUUAACAGAUGGGGCACACUGCUUGCAGUUGGCUGUAAUGAUGGCCGGAUUGUCAUCUGGGAUUUCUUGACAAGAGGCAUUGCUAAAAUAAUUAGUGCACACAUCCAUCCAGUCUGUUCUUUAUGCUGGAGUCGAGAUGGUCAUAAGCUCGUGAGUGCUUCCACUGAUAACAUAGUGUCACAGUGGGAUGUUCUUUCAGGCGACUGCGACCAGAGGUUUCGAUUCCCUUCACCCAUCUUAAAAGUCCAGUAUCAUCCACGAGAUCAGAACAAGGUUCUCGUGUGUCCCAUGAAAUCUGCUCCUGUCAUGUUGACCCUUUCAGAUUCCAAACAUGUUGUUCUGCCGGUAGACGAUGACUCCGAUUUGAACGUGGUGGCUUCUUUUGAUAGGCGAGGGGAAUAUAUUUAUACGGGAAAUGCAAAAGGCAAGAUUUUGGUCCUAAAAACAGAUUCUCAGGAUCUUGUUGCUUCCUUCAGAGUAACAACUGGAACAAGCAAUACCACGGCCAUUAAAUCAAUUGAAUUUGCCCGGAAAGGGAGUUGCUUUUUAAUUAACACAGCAGAUCGAAUAAUCAGGGUUUAUGAUGGCAGAGAAAUCUUAACCUGUGGAAGAGAUGGGGAGCCUGAACCCAUGCAAAAAUUGCAGGACUUGGUGAAUAGGACUCCAUGGAAGAAAUGCUGUUUCUCUGGGGAUGGGGAAUACAUAGUGGCGGGUUCCGCCCGGCAGCAUGCUCUGUACAUCUGGGAGAAGAGCAUUGGUAACCUGGUGAAGAUUCUCCAUGGGACGAGAGGAGAGCUCCUGUUGGAUGUCGCUUGGCAUCCUGUUCGACCCAUCAUAGCAUCCAUUUCUAGUGGAGUGGUAUCUAUCUGGGCACAAAAUCAAGUGGAAAACUGGAGUGCAUUCGCACCAGAUUUCAAAGAAUUGGAUGAAAAUGUAGAAUAUGAGGAAAGGGAAUCAGAGUUUGAUAUUGAAGAUGAAGAUAAGAGUGAGCCUGAGCAGACAGGGGCUGAUGCUGCAGAAGAUGAGGAGGUGGAUGUCACCAGUGUGGACCCCAUUGCUGCCUUCUGUAGCAGUGAUGAAGAGCUGGAAGAUUCAAAGGCUCUAUUGUAUUUACCCAUUGCCCCUGAGGUAGAAGACCCAGAAGAAAAUCCUUAUGGCCCCCCACCGGAUGCAGUCCAAACCUCCUUGAUGGAUGAAGGGGCUAGUUCAGAGAAGAAGAGGCAGUCUUCAGCAGAUGGGUCCCAGCCACCUAAGAAGAAACCCAAAACAACCAAUAUAGAACUUCAAGGAGUACCAAAUGAUGAAGUCCAUCCACUACUGGGUGUGAAGGGGGAUGGCAAAUCCAAGAAGAAGCAAGCAGGCCGGCCUAAAGGAUCAAAAGGUAAAGAGAAAGAUUCUCCAUUUAAACCGAAACUCUACAAAGGGGACAGAGGUUUACCUCUGGAAGGAUCAGCGAAGGGUAAAGUGCAGGCGGAACUCAGCCAGCCCUUGACAGCUCAUCAGUAUUGGAUAGCACCAGAGGGCCCACAUCCACGAAGACACUUUCUGUAUUGAGUGAAGACCCAACAGUGAAGCUUGGUAAGGGUAACCCUAAGCUUGGGACUUACCAGAGAGACCAGGCUGACAUAAUUUGCACUAUUUAUCAAAUGUCCCUCAAUUACCUUAGAUACUCUCCAGAGGCCAGUCCUCGGAACAGAAACUUGAGACGUGAACAGAAUCACCAAUUUCCUCGUUGCCAUGGAAUUGCUCAAGAACCAGGGCUCCUUGGCAGUAACCGUCAGUAGUAAAGUGAGGCUGUCACAUUCGUGGUCUGAAGUCCUCAUGUGAUGUUAAUAUUUCACAGCUGUCCAUUUAAGGAUGUCCCUCAGAGGUUGAACAGCUUCUAUGGAAUAAUCAGGGAAGUGUUCAUUUGAUUUUACUAUUUAGGAUAUUAUUUAUUGAUCAGUUGGUUCAUAGAAAUGCAGACAGUAGCUUUCAUCAACAUUUCACCAUAUUUGGGGUUCUAAGGUGAUAAAGAUGUCACUUAAGGAACGGUGGUGCUUGGAAAAGGGUUUCUUGCUCACUGUUAAUCAUGUAGUUACUAAUUAGUCUAAUAUCUGAAAGGUUAAAGGUGUAGUGCCCUGGAAUUUCCUCUACUUAUUGCACUUUUUGGAUUGCUAAGUAUUGUUUGUGAACUCCUUAGAGAAUGACUAGCAGCUUAGAAAAUGCAUAGAACUCUGGUCAUUUUGCUUUUCCCCAUACCCUUUGGAGCAGUGCUGAGAAAAGUAUUGGGGGUAGGGGUUUGGGAUUUGAAUUAUUUGUUUCAAUAAAGAGUAGUUGGGAAUUGGAAUUGGUUUUAAUUUUUCUUAAAAAGGGGAAGUACUUGGCUCAUAUAUGCUUGUAAUGCAUCAUCCAGCAUCCAUCAGUAUUUCUGUCUUAUAAGUAAUUGGUCUAUGUUAAUGCUAACAGAAAACUUUUUGUGUCUAAUCUCUUUAGCAGGAGGAGCAAUCUCAGAAUUGUUAUGAAGACCCUUGAAGUUCUUCGUUCUUCCCCACUUUGCCAUCAUGUGGCCUCUGGACACUGUGGUCAGUCAUUUGAGAUUGACUUUAAUUUAAAACAAAGGCCUCUGCCUCCCACCCAGGAGGUGGGAGGAAUGAAUUUUAUGUUUGAAUGAAGAAGUGAAUUAUGGAAGAAGAGUAUAUGUCCCUUACCUUCCUUUUCAAGCAUAAGUCCAAAUAGGCUCUCAGGAAUGAGGAUUGUGAAGACAUCAGAUAGGAGCUUUGACUCAUUUAAACUUUGAUGCUUAGUUAUAUUGCUGGAGAAAAAAUACCCAUGUUUUGCUCAUAUAACAUUAUUGUACCCAGCAUCAUUUUGGCUGUCAUUUCCUAUCUCCUGUUAGCCUUCCAUCCUCAGUGCAUGUCCUUGAGUGACUUGUUCCUAUCUGAAAUUUUGCUACCAAUAUCCUAGGGAAACGUCUGUUGCUAAUUCUUUCUUUCAUUUUUUAAACUUACCUUCUCCCCAGAUAUCGCCUAUAUUUCCAUAUUGUGUACAAAGGAUGGGCAGGAAAGAACAUGCUUGAAAAUUUUCAAAUUUUCAGAAAGGGAAGAAAGAUAAGAAGCCCCCCCUCUUCCUACUGUACUACAUUUUGCUCAAGAAGCUGGGCUGUAAGAGAGUCAAGGUUUUUUUUCCUUGUUUUCUUUCCAUUGCAUGUUUCCCUCCAGUAUUGGUUCAUUGUCAUUAAUCAUGGUGUUUGAAGAUAGCUAGUUUUAUCCAUCUCCAGCAAAGAAUCAUCAACAGUUUGUAUUGCUUUAUUUUAUUUUAUUUUUUCCCUUUGAUCCUGGUGUGUAUCGCUUUAUGUAUGCUGGCUUCCAGAGAUGGAAGCAAACCAAGGUGUCACUCAACAAGCUUAUUUUUUAUUGGGGUGGGGGAAUCUAUGCAAGGACUAGGGUAAAACCAUCUGAAAUCAAAGCAGCAACAACACAGUUCAAAUCAAAGAUCAAGGUGAAAUUUUUUUUAUCAUUGCCUGUGGAAAUCUGUCCCCAUCAGUCCCUUCCUGUAUCUAUGCUCCUUUUUCUGUGUUUUCAUUCACUUCCUUUCUGUGAAAGGUUGCUAGCUUUUUUGCCUUUUUUUGCUUUUGUUGUUCUAUAGAUAGAAAGAUUGGAUAGAUGUACAUUAGGUGUUUGAAAUUCUCUGAAAAUUUAGUCAGGAAGCCAGACACUCAGUAGCCUCCCUGAGUAGAGCUUUUAGUUGGCCAGAAGUGCUUAACCUGGAUCAUUUUCUCAGUAUUUUUCAAAGGAGAGUUCAAAUACUGUGCUUAUUGUGAAAUCUGUAUCAGUUGGUGGGUGCUUCUAUAGGCAGCCAAACACAUUGAUUACCUUUUAGAUUUUAGGAUAGAAAUCAAGGUAGAGAAAUCAGUAAGAGCCUCUUUCUCCCAUUCCAUCCUUUAGAACCAGUGUAUUUAAUAGUAGAGGAAAGAGCUCUCCCUGAGUCAGUUUCAAAACAUCUAUAUUGUUAGAUGCUAUUACUUUUCCCCUAAAUGCUCAUUUUGUGAAUUGCAUAUGAGUUAGACCAGUGGUUGAGAUGGGUAAGUGGCUCACUAGACAUGUUUUUGUUUUACAGAUAUUAUAUCCAUUCCAGUUUUCUUUGUACUCCACCCUGCAAUAGUGUGCAAACUGUGUGGUACAAAAGGUUUCUGCCUUAUUUCCGUGUGUGGAGUAGCUUGGUUUCCUCUGCCUGUGCAUCUGGCUGUUUGUGCUGUGUCCGCCUCCUAAACUGGCUACUGAGAAAAGCGACUUAAGCCCUGUCAGAUUGUCUCUGGCAGGCAGCUCCUAAUAAUUAUUUAUGCUUUUGGAAAUUUUUUUUUCAACUCCUAAAACCUUCUAUCUUAGUUUGACUUUCUUGAUUUGUACAAUAUAUGUAUAUUCUCUUCCUUUUUGUCACCUCCCCACUCCCCCAUUGUUUGGUUUUUUAAAAUGUUCUGUAGUUUUGUACAAGAUGAGACUUAGACUUGGGUAUAUCUUGCUGAAGCUUUAAUGCUUUGUAAAUAAAAUCGGAUGUUUAUUAAAGAA